AGAGUUUGAUCAUGGCUCAGAUUGAACGCUGGCGGAAUGCUUUACACAUGCAAGUCGAACGGCAGCACGGGGCAACCUGGUGGCGAGUGGCGAACGGGUGAGUAAUAUAUCGGAACGUGCCCAAUCGUGGGGAUAACGUAGCGAAAGUUACGCUAAUACCGCAUACGAUCUACGGAUGAAAGCGGGGGAUCGCAAGACCUCGCGCGAAUGGAGCGGCCGAUAUCAGAUUAGGUAGUUGGUGGGGUAAAGGCUCACCAAGCCAACGAUCUGUAGCUGGUCUGAGAGGACGACCAGCCACACUGGAACUGAGACACGGUCCAGACUCCUACGGGAGGCAGCAGUGGGGAAUUUUGGACAAUGGGCGCAAGCCUGAUCCAGCCAUUCCGCGUGCAGGAUGAAGGCCUUCGGGUUGUAAACUGCUUUUGUACGGAACGAAACGGUCUGCCCUAAUACGGCGGGCUAAUGACGGUACCGUAAGAAUAAGCACCGGCUAACUACGUG
rnacentral:rRNA from 1 species